UGUAUCGGAAGCCUGACGAGGAUGAGAACCUCCGGGGGCAAGAGGUUCGACUCGAGCACAGCGAGAGAACGUUGCGUCAGCAACGGCCCGCAGGGCGAGCCACGCAGUGGCGAGUCAUCCUCUAUCACCGGCAG
rnacentral:sRNA from 1 species